rnacentral:rRNA from 1 species
UACGGAGGGUGCAAGCGUUAUCCGGAUUCACUGGGUUUAAAGGGAGCGUAGGUGGGUUGGUAAGUCAGUGGUGAAAUCCCCGAGCUUAGCUUGGGAACUGCCAUUGAUACUAUCAAUCUUGAAUACUGUGGAGGUAAGCGGAAUAUAUCAUGUAGCGGUGAAAUGCUUAGAUAUGAUAUAGAACACCAAUAGCGAAGGCAGCUUACUACGCAGUUAUUGACACUGAGGCUCGAAAGCGUGGGGAUCAAACAGG